GCAAGUGUGGUCCAAUGGAAGGGUGUCGGUCUCCAAAACCGAAGAUAGGGGUUCGAUUCCCCUCACUUGUGCCA
rnacentral:tRNA from 1 species